AAUAGCCUAACGGCUGAACCAGCAACUUGGAGGAAUGAAUAGCGAAAGCUAAUUGUACUAAAAGUACAAUAUCGAUUUAAUCGUAUAAAAUUCUGGGUAGAAUUAUGAUAAUGACAUUGUCUACCUAUAUUUCUUGACCAAAUUACGUGCCAGCAGUCGCGGUAAUACGUAGAAGAUUAGUGUUAUUCAUCUUUAAUAGGUUUAAAGGGUACCUAGACAGCAAACCAAGCCUUUAAUUUAAUAGGGACUAGUUUGCUAGAGUUACUUGUGAGGGGGCAUAAAAGUACUGUCGGUGUAGAGAUGAAAUUCUUUAAUACCCUUUUUCAUACGAAAAUUAAUGGCACAGAUUUAGGCGAAAGCAUCCCCUUAUGUGAUAACUGACGUUGAAGGACGAAGGCUUUGUGUAGCGAACAGGAUUAGAUACCCCAAUAGUCGAAGCAGAAAAUGAUGAGUGUCAUAGAUUAGAUAUAUGUUUAUUCUAUAAAUGAAAGUGUAAGCACUCCACCUCAAGAGUAAUUUGGCAACAUUGGAACUGAAAUCAUUAGACCGUUUCUGAAACCAGUAGUGAAGUAUGUUGUUCAAUUAGAUAGCACGCAAAAAACCUUACCACAAUUUGAAUAUUUAUAUCAGCAUAAUUAAAAAAUAAUAGAUAUAUCUACAAGCGUUGCACGGUUGUCUUCAGUUAAUGUCGCGAGACUAUGGUUAGUUCCAUUAAAUUAACGUAAACCCUAACUUUAUUUUUACAUAAGGUUGUUCUCCGCUAUACUGGAUAUGAUAACAGGGAUCAAGACAAGUCAACAUGACCUAAAUAUUGUGGGCUAUAGACGUGCUGCUUAGACCAAACAAAAGGAUGCGAA
rnacentral:rRNA from 1 species